rnacentral:rRNA from 1 species
GAUGAACGCUGGCGGCGUGCCUAAUACAUGCAAGUCGAGCGAACAGACGAGGAGCUUGCUCCUCUGACGUUAGCGGCGGACGGGUGAGUAACACGUGGAUAACCUACCUAUAAGACUGGGAUAACUUCGGGAAACCGGAGCUAAUACCGGAUAAUAUAUUGAACCGCAUGGUUCAAUAGUGAAACACGGUUUUGCUGUCACUUAUAGAUGGAUCCGCGCUGCAUUAGCUAGUUGGUAAGGUAACGGCUUACCAAGGCAACGAUGCGUAGCCGACCUGAGAGGGUGAUCGGCCACACUGGAACUGAGACACGGUCCAGACUCCUACGGGAGGCAGCAGUAGGGAAUCUUCCGCAAUGGGCGAAAGCCUGACGGAGCAACGCCGCGUGAGUGAUGAAGGUCUUCGGAUCGUAAAACUCUGUUAUUAGGGAAGAACAAAUGUGUAAGUAACUAUGCACGUCUUGACGGUACCUAAUCAGAAAGCCACGGCUAACUACGUG